rnacentral:rRNA from 1 species
AGGGGGUUUGAUCAUGGCUCAGAUUGAACGCUGGCGGCAUGCCUAACACAUGCAAGUCGAACGGAAACGAUGGGAGCUUGCUCCCAGGCGUCGAGUGGCGGACGGGUGAGUAAUACUUAGGAAUCUACCCAGUAGCGGGGGACAACUCGAGGAAACUCGAGCUAAUACCGCAUACGCCCUACGGGGGAAAGCAGGGGAUCUUCGGACCUUGCACUAUUGGAUGAGCCUAAGUCGGAUUAGCUUGUUGGUGAGGUAAAGGCUCACCAAGGCGACGAUCCGUAGCUGGUCUGAGAGGACGAUCAGCCACACUGGGACUGAGACACGGCCCAGACUCCUACGGGAGGCAGCAGUGGGGAAUAUUGGACAAUGGGGGCAACCCUGAUCCAGCAAUGCCGCGUGUGUGAAGAAGGCCUGCGGGUUGUAAAGCACUUUCAGUAGAGAAGAAAAGCCCACGGCUAAUACCCGUGAGUCUUGACGUUACCUACAGAAGAAGCUCCGGCUAACUCCGUGCCAGCAGCCGCGGUAAUACGGAGGGAGCGAGCGUUAAUCGGAAUUACUGGGCGUAAAGCGCGCGUAGGCGGCAUUGUAAGUCGGAUGUGAAAGCCCUGGGCUCAACCUGGGAAUGGCAUUCGAUACUGCAGAGCUAGAGUAUGGUUAGAGGGAAGUGGAAUUUCCGGUG